UACAGAGGGUGCUAGCGUUGUCCGGAAUCAUUGGGCGUAAAGAGCGUGUAGGCGGCCCGGUAAGUCCGCUGUAAAAGUCAAAGGCUCAACCUUUGAAUGUCAGUGGAUACUGCCGGGCUAGAGUCCGGAAGAGGCGAGUGGAACUCCUGGUGUAGCGGUGGAAUGCGCAGAUAUCAGGAAGAACACCCGUGGCGAAGGCGGCUCUCUGGGACGGUACUGACGCUGAGACGCGAAAGCGUGGGGAGCGAACAGG
rnacentral:rRNA from 1 species